AAAAGACAGAGUUAGAGAGGGGGCGUUUCCCCCCCUCAGUGUGAUUUCCAGAUAUUGCCAAUACACAGCCGUCGACUUGAGUGCACGAGGAGGGAUUGACAGACUUCCAACAAUGGGGACCUGGACAGUUUCAGCAGCUUAUAAAAUCCCCACCCUUCCCUCCAGCUCUCUCCUGCUGUAUAGCGUCGAACAGCGAAGGGGGGGAUGGGAGAAGAGAGUGAGAAACAGAGAGAGAGGGAGAGAAGGUGGAGGGGAGUGAGGUGGCGUGACCGUUUGCUCCCGUCUCGACCACGGGUAUUCUUGGGUUGAUAAUACAGAUGUCGAUGUUAUUGCUUGAGAAUACGCGUAGCUGAGCGGAAGCCAUCAUCAUCGACAACAAACGGAUGUCAGUUUAUGCCCUCCUCCGGGCACAGGCUCGAUGUGAAGAGCAUCCAUGGUGAUGGUAAUCCUGUCCUAAAGUCCUGGUCCUGAGACUCACCUCGUUCCUCCAUCCAGUGUCCUCUUGGCCUCUGCAGGAAUGGGCGAAUGUGAUGCUGGGGCUCAUCCAUGUAAAAGGGCCCUUUGACAGAAACUGUGUCUGUGUGCUAAACCCUGGAAAUUCCCAGCCAAGAGGAUUCUCCACGCCACUCCCUAGAGACUCACAUCAGCGCCACUGUCUCCCUGUCACUGUGCAUGUGUGUGUGUUUGUGUGUUUGUGUGCAUGGGUGCAUGUGCAGUUUUUCUGUCUCUUCUUCCACACAGCAAUUAAAGAUCCGAUUGAUUUCCCUGCCUACGCUGAUUACCUGCUUCACUAGUUUGUUUUUUCUCUGAUAUCUGAUUAAUACUGAGACUGUACACAGGGACACCUCACAUUAUAAUACAUUGGCCUAAAAAAAAAUUUAUAGAUUAAUUUUGUGAUUUGUCUAUGGAAAAUCAACUGUUAUUAUACAUUUUAAAGUCAUUUUAAGUAAAAUUACAUGAAACUUUGUUGUUCCAGCCUUUUGAAAGUGAAGAUUUUCAUGUGAUUCUUUGCUGUUGAUGAUGAUAAACUGAAUUUCUUUGGAUUUAAAGUCACUGUUGGCACA